UUGGUGCUUGCAUCAUGAUUUACAUUUGAGUGAGUGGCGAACUGGUGAGUAACACGUGGGAAACCUGCCCAGAAGCGGGGGAUAACACCUGGAAACAGAUGCUAAUACCGCAUAACAACUUGGACCGCAUGGUCCGAGUUUGAAAGAUGGCUUCGGCUAUCACUUUUGGAUGGUCCCGCGGCGUAUUAGCUAGAUGGUGGGGUAACGGCUCACCAUGGCAAUGAUACGUAGCCGACCUGAGAGGGUAAUCGGCCACAUUGGGACUGAGACACGGCCCAAACUCCUACGGGAGGCAGCAGUAGGGAAUCUUCCACAAUGGACGAAAGUCUGAUGGAGCAACGCCGCGUGAGUGAAGAAGGGUUUCGGCUCGUAAAACUCUGUUGUUAAAGAAGAACAUAUCUGAGAGUAACUGUUCAGGUAUUGACGGUAUUUAACCAGAAAGCCACGGCUAACUACGUGCCAGCAGCCGCGGUAAUACGUAGGUGGCAAGCGUUGUCCGG
rnacentral:rRNA from 1 species